rnacentral:rRNA from 1 species
CCUACGGGAGGCUGCAGUGAGGAAUAUUGGUCAAUGGACGCAAGUCUGAACCAGCCAUGCCGCGUGCAGGAAGACUGCUCUAUGAGUUGUAAACUGCUUUUGUACGAGGGUAAACGCAGAUACGCGUAUCUGUCUGAAAGUAUCUUACGAAUAAGGAUCGGCUAACUCCGUGCCCGCAGCCGCGGUAAUACGGAGGAUUCAAGCGUUAUCCGGGUUUAUUGGGUUUAAAGGGUGCGUAGGCGGUCGGAUAAGUUAGAUGUGAAAUCCCGAGGCUCAACUUCGGAAUUGCCUCUGAUACUGUUCGGCGAGAGAGUAGUUGCGGUAGGCGGAAUGUAUGGUGUAGCGGUGAAAUGCUUAGAGAUCAUACAGAACACAGAUUGCGAAGGCAGCUUACCAAGCUACUUCUGACGGUGAGGCACGAAAGCGUGGGGAGCAAACAGGAUGAGAGACCCGAGUAGUC